rnacentral:rRNA from 1 species
CCUACGGGGGGCUGCAGUGGGGAAUAUUGCACAAUGGGCGCAAGCCUGAUGCAGCCAUGCCGCGUGUGUGAAGAAGGCCUUCGGGUUGUAAAGCACUUUCAGCGGGGAGGAAGGCGUUAAGGUUAAUAACCUUGUCGAUUAACGUUACCCGCAGAAGAAGCACCGGCUAACUCCGUGCCAGCAGCCGCGGUAAUACGGAGGGUGCAAGCGUUAAUCGGAAUUACUGGGCGUAAAGCGCACGCAGGCGGUCUGUCAAGUCGGAUGUGAAAUCCCCGGGCUCAACCUGGGAACUGCAUUCGAAACUGGCAGGCUAGAGUCUUGUAGAGGGGGGUAGAAUUCCAGGUGUAGCGGCGAAAUGCGUAGAGAUCUGGAGGAAUACCGGUGGCGAAGGCGGCCCCCUGGACAAAGACUGACGCUCAGGUGCGAAAGCGUGGGGAGCAAACAGGAUUAGAUACCCGGGUAGUC